rnacentral:rRNA from 1 species
AAUUUUGGACAAUGGGGGGCACCCUGAUCCAGCCAUCCCGCGUGUGCGACGAAGGCCCUCUGGUUGUAAAGCACUUUUGGCAGGAAAGAAAUCGCAUAGGAUCAAACCCUGUGUGGAUGACGGUACAUGCAGAAUAAGUACCGCCUAACUACUCGCCAGCAGCCGCGGUAAUCCGUAGGUUGCAGGCGUUAAUCGGAAUUACUGUGCGUAAAGCGUGCGCAGGCGGUUCGGAAAGAAAGAUGUGAAAUCCCAGGGCUUAACCUUGGAACUGCAUUUUUAACUACCGGGCUAGAGUGUGGCAGAGGGAGGUGGAAUUCCGCGUGUAGCAGUGAAAUGCGUAGAUAUGCGAAGGAACACCGAUGGCGAAGGCAGCCCCCUGGGAUAAUACUGACGCUCAUGCACGAAAGCGUGGGGAGCAAACA